UUUGAAUUACUAAAGUUGUUGUGGUGAUUGCCCUCCUGGGCAGGGAAACUAAAAUUAAAAGAAGAAAAUAAAAACUCAAGCAGUAAAGAGAAAGGACCUAUACUCAACUAAGAAACACUAGACUAUUUCAUAAUUUACUCAAUCUACUCAUUCAAUUAAUUCCUAGCCAUACCAUCAAAUAAGAAAUAGCCUUAAUCCUCAAUGUCAGCAAUCCCAACAUUUGAAAAAAAACUAGAUUCACUCAAUAUCAACAAUGAGAACAAUUAGAAAAGCAACCGUAAGUUUCAACCUCGCUAUUUACACCAAUCCUAUAACUAAAGGGAAAGGCAACUCCAUCACAUCAAUUUGUUUCCCUUUUAACAAAACUUUCAGUCUACCAUCAAACUUCUCUUUUCU
rnacentral:lncRNA from 1 species